rnacentral:rRNA from 1 species
UUUGGGUUACCGGCGGGGGGGCUACCCAUAUACCCAGCGGGGGGGCCUAGCGUUCCACGAUCAUUUUGGAUGAGCCCGCGGCCUACCAGCUUGUUGGUGGGGUGAGGGCCUACCAAGCCGAUGACGGGUAGCCGGCCUGAGAGGGCGACCGGCCACACUGGGACUGAGACACGGCCCAGACUCCUUCGGGAGGCAGCAAUCGGGAAUAUUGCACAAAGAAUGGAAGCCUGAUGCAGCGACGCCGCGUGAGGGAUGACGGCCUUCGGAGGUAACUUCGGCUUCCAGCACCAAGGAAAAGUACGGACUUUUUGGGCGGCGCCGGCCUAGAACUAGUGUAA